UACGUAGGGGGCAAGCGUUGUCCGGAUUUAUUGGGCGUAAAGAGCGUGUAGGCGGCCAGGUAGGUCGGUUGUGAAAACUGGAGGCUCAACCUCCAGACGUCGACCGAAACCAUCUGGCUAGAGUCCGGAAGAGGAGAGUGGAAUUCCUGGUGUAGCGGUGAAAUGCGCAGAUAUCAGGAAGAACACCCGUGGCGAAAGCGGCUCUCCGGGACGGUACUGACGCUGAGACGCGAAAGCGUGGGGAGCGAACAGG
rnacentral:rRNA from 1 species